rnacentral:rRNA from 1 species
CACGUAGGGCGCAAGCGUUGUCCGGAUUUAUUGGGCGUAAAGAGCUCGUAGGUGGUUCGGUAAGUCGGAUGUGAAAUCUCCAGGCUCAACCUGGAGGGGUCAUUCGAUACUGCCGUGACUAGAGUUCGGUAGAGGAGUGUGGAAUUCCUGGUGGAGCAGUGAAAUGCGCAGAGAUCAGGAGGAACACCCGUAGCGAAGGCGGCACUCUGGGCCGAUACUGACACUGAGGAGCGAAAGCGUGGGGAGCGAACAGG